rnacentral:rRNA from 1 species
GAGCAAGCGUUGUUCGGAAUCACUGGGCGUAAAGGGCGUGUAGGCGGUCAGGUAAGUGGGAUGUGAAAGCCCUCGGCUCACCCGAGGAUCUGCAUCUCAAACUGCCUGGCUUGAGUAUGGGAGAGGAUGAGGGAAUUCCUGGUGUAGCGGUGAAAUGCGUAGAUAUCAGGAGGAACACCGGUGGCGAAGGCGGCCUCGUGGAUCGAUACUGAGGCUGAGGCGCGAAAGCGUGGGGAGCAAAAAGG